GAAAAAUAUAUUUUUUGUGUUUGCAAAGUUUACAUUUUUUCUUUCAUAAACUGUUUUAAACAAAUUUUAUAACAUUAAAAAAAUACAAUUACUCAGAAAAAAAGUUAUUUUGGGAUUUUGAUACAGAGAAAUGGCAUGACAGGUUCGAUAAACCCAAUUUAGCUAAACCAUACCAUUCAUUUUCAUUGCUGUUCACGUGGGAUGGUCGCAGUUUUAUUGAUUUGAGUGAGGAUUAGAGGAAGUUUUUGCAUUUAACAGUAGUCAGACGAUCAACAAUGGCACCUGCUCGGAGUGGUGGAGUGUUUGGAACUCUGAAAAGCUUUUAUUACGAUCCCUUCCGGUGGUCAAUAGUGAAGAGCAUAGCAGUGUUUGCUGUGGGAGUCAAGAUUGCCAGAGAGUGUGUUGGCCUUGAUCUGCUGGCACCACCAACAGCAUAAGGUUAUUUCCACAUCACCAUUGAUGGAAGAGUUGGAUGCAAGAUACAUGGUCAGUGCUUGUGAAGUGGAUGGGAUGAAUGCAGAGCAGAAUGUCGGUGCAAGAAAGAUGUACAAGUGCUCUGAUUAUGUUAAUGGGUCAUCUUGGUGUUCAUUUUGACAUUGUGAAGUGAAAAUACAUCACUACAACUCAA